GAUGAACGCUGGCGGCGUGCCUAAUACAUGCAAGUCGAACGAACAUACCCGGAUCUUUCUCGUCUGGCGUUAGCGCCAAACGGGUAAGUAACACGUAGAUAACCUCCCUAUACGACUGGGAUACCUCCUGGAAGCCUGAGCUAUUACCGGAGAAUAUAUUGUACCGCAUGGUUCAAUAGUGAAAGACGGUCUUGCUGUCACUUAUAGAUGGAUCCGCGCCGCAUUAGCUAGUUGGUAAGGUAACGGCUUACCAAGGCCACGAUGCGUAGCCGACGUGAGCGGGUGAUCGGCCACACUGGAACUGAGACACGGUCCAGAAGCCUACGGGAGGCAGCAGUAGGGAAUGUUCCGCAAUGGGCGGAAGCCGGACGGAGCAACGCCGCGUGAGUGAUGAAGGUCGUCGGAUCGUAAAACUCUGUUAUUAGGGAAGAACAAAUGUGUAAGUAACUAUGCACGUCUUGACGGUACCUAAUCAGAAAGCCACGGCUAACUACGUG
rnacentral:rRNA from 1 species